rnacentral:lncRNA from 1 species
AUUCUAUUUUGAGCAAAAGGAGUCUUUGAAUUCUAGGUGGAAGAGGAAGUGACUUAACAGCAUCAUUAGAAGAAGCCGAGGGAAGUAACUAUGGAAUUACUUAAGGCACUCAGAUUGAAACCAGAGAAUCAUAAAAGAACAUUGCAUCAAGUCUUCAGUUUUCUGGUAGAAAUAAAAAGAGAUAGUGUUUUCCCUAUUUAAACAAUUUUUAAAAAAUUAAACAAAUAGUAGAAGAGGAAAUAACUGAUGGGAAGGCAUCUUCUGCAAAGACUUUACAUGCAAAUAAAUGGAUAAAUAGUUAAUUUCAAUUUAGUGAAGGAUUAAUGAACUUUCCAUCAACCAAUCCUAAAGAAGGCAAAAGCGUCAGGUCAAGGCCUUUGUCCAAUAAUGACAAGAGACUGUCAUUGGGGCCAUAGAUAGGAACUUCCUGCAGAUUUUGGUCAGGAAGCACUUAGUAGAUUCAUAGUAAAAUGCUAUAGAAAUGUGAAUUAUUGUUAUUGUUAUGAUUAACAUUUAAUCUAUAUAGUACUUUUACUCAUAUACUUCUGGUCUGAAGUGGAAACCAAAGCUUUCUACAUGCUGUUGUUCCUACAAUGCCAAGCUCCAGUUCUGCCUUCUGUGGGAAUCUUUCUUUAAACUGAGCCCUGGGUCAGGUCAGUUCAAGUCAACAAGCAUUUAUUAAUCUUUUACAACAUGCUGGAUAUUGUGCUGAGUGAUGGAAGUACAAAUAUAAGCAGCAAAGCAGCCCCUGCUCUUAAAGAGCAUACAUCCUAAUAGGAAAGUACAACUCAAGAGAAGAAGCAGAAAAGGAGAAGAUGGAAAAAAGAAGGGAGAAGGGCCUGUGAGAGUUCAUGGUAGAGAAAAUGUUAAGUGUCAAGAGCAGAUCCCAGCAAGGAACGAAGACAUAGCUAUCCUAGACAUCCAGCCCACUAAGGACAUCAGGGGUCAGAAGCCACUAAACAGCUGUGAGAAUGACUGGUGACCCACAAUGACUGAAUCAGGCAGGCAAUUAAAGAAGGGUUCAGUCUUGGCCCCAGUGCCAAGGCCCAGCAUCAGCUGAAUCCUGGGAACAAGAUCAUCCUGCUAAACAUGAGCCAUCCUUGCUGGAGUUAAGUAAUCCUGGACUGUAUUUCUUUGAGUAAAAUUGAGUAAAGUUACCAAUUAAAUAUUAUUUUAAUCCUUUUAUAUUUGUGCCACAAAAUGGCAUUAAUAUGCCAAAAAUGAUAUAUUCAAUUAACCAAUAAUCAUUUAUUAAGUAUCAACUAUUUUCUAAGGAUUGGAAAUAUAAAAACAAUCAUGAAACAUUCACUAUCCUGAAGAAACUUACAUUCUAUCAAGGGAGGUAACAUAUAUACUUAUAAGUAUUUAUAAAUAACAUUUAAGCAUUAUUGUGAGUAUUUAAAUAUGUGCAUGUGUACACUGUCAGCCUGGAAAACCACAGAACCACCAAAGCAGUGAUUCUUUAGAACCUUCUUUAAAAGUUCUUUAAAUUCUAAAGAAUUCGUCUUUAAUCUG